UUGAUCUCAAAUCAGGUAGGAUUACCCGCUGAACUUAA
rnacentral:rRNA from 1 species